rnacentral:rRNA from 1 species
GACGAACGCGUGGCGGCGUGGAUUAGGCAUGCAAGUCGGACGGUAGAGCUUUAUCGUAAGAUAGAGUUUGAGAGUGGCCGAACGGGUGAGUAACACGUAGGAACGUACUACCCGUUAAGACGGGGACAACCCAGGGAAACUUGGGACUAAUACCGGAUGAGAGUUGCGAGAGUAUUGCAUUUAAAAGGAUGGCGAAAGUUGUCGCUUAGGGAUGAGGCCUGCGGUCUAUUAGUUAGUUGGUGAGGUAAGAGCUCGACCAAGGCGAUGGAUAGGAUAGGCGGCCUUAAACGGGGUCGGUACGCCCCACGACUGGGAUUGAGAUACGGCCCAGACUCCUAACGGGAGCAAGCAGUCGGAGAACUAGUCUACAAUGGCCGAAGGCUGAUAGUGCGACGCCGUCGUGAACGAGGGAGCCCGUUCGGGGUGGUAAAGUUCUUUUCUAUACGAGCAGUGCUAGUAUAUAUGGAUAGUAUAUAUAGAGGGAUAGUAGUAGUAGGAAUAAGCAACGGCUAACUCCGUGCCAGCAC